UGCCUCCGUCUCCUGGCCACAGACUCUGAUAAACGUGGGUGUGCAAAAGCUGGAGCAGCGCACACUCAUACUCCAAAAACCGCAAAAAAAUUAAAAACCAACAAUUAAAAAAAAAAAAAACUGCAACUAAGUUUCAGAAGUGGAUUAAAUUUUUAAAAAAACAGUGAAUUUAUAUUUAAAAGAAACGGAACCAGGCCCCAGCCACGCUCUUGAGAUUUGAACCGGACAAACCUUCCGAAGUUUCUGGAAACAAGUAUUCGAAACGGUUUAAAGAAAGAAACGAGACUGCGAUUUUGUUGACGGCCGGAGGAGCCCAGCUUGAGUCGACCACUCUCUGUCAGACCGUCCCCCACCCCCUCAGGCCCCGGUGUGUUGUGUCACUCGCUCACACCUCCACCCUCUGAAAGUUGUCGCCUCUCAGGAUGAACCAGACCGCUGCCAGCUACCCCAUGGCCUCGCUCUACGUCGGCGACCUGCAUCCAGAUGUGACCGAGGCGAUGCUAUACGAGAAGUUCAGCCCGGCCGGGCCAGUGCUCUCCAUCAGAGUGUGCAGGGACAUGAUCACCAGGAGGUCGCUGGGCUACGCCUAUGUCAACUUCCAGCAGGCCGCAGACGCUGAGCGUGCCUUGGAUACCAUGAACUUUGAUGUCAUCAAGGGAAGACCAAUCCGCAUCAUGUGGUCACAGCGUGACCCAUCGCUAAGAAAGUCGGGAGUUGGUAAUGUAUUCAUCAAAAAUCUGGACAAGUCCAUUGACAACAAGGCUCUGUAUGACACUUUCUCUGCAUUUGGAAACAUCUUGUCGUGUAAGGUGGUUUGUGAUGAAAAUGGCUCCAAAGGAUAUGCUUUUGUGCACUUUGAAACUCAGGAUGCUGCUGAUAGAGCAAUUGAGAAAAUGAAUGGCAUGUUGCUAAAUGACAGGAAAGUAUUUGUUGGUCGUUUUAAAUCUCGUAAGGAGAGAGAGGCUGAACUUGGAGCAAAGGCAAAAGAGUUCACCAAUGUUUACAUAAAGAACUUUGGAGAUGAUAUGGAUGAUGAACGACUCAAAGAAAUGUUUGAUAAAUUUGGCAAAACUCUCAGUGUUAAAGUCAUGACAGAUCCAAAUGGAAAAUGCAAGGGCUUUGGCUUUGUUAGCUAUGAAAAACAUGAAGAUGCCUUCAAGGCUGUGGAAGAAAUGAAUGGGAAGGAACUAAAUGGAAAAAUGCUCUUUGUUGGUCGUGCCCAAAAAAAGGUGGAACGGCAGGCUGAACUGAAAAGAAAGUUUGAACAGUUAAAACAGGAACGGAUCAGUAGAUAUCAGGGUGUGAAUCUAUACAUCAAGAACCUAGAUGACACCAUUGAUGAUGAAAAACUGAGAAAAGAGUUUGCUCCAUUUGGUUCAAUCACCAGUGCCAAGGUAAUGCUGGAGGAUGGUCGAAGCAAAGGUUUUGGCUUUGUUUGCUUCUCCUCUCCUGAGGAAGCGACGAAAGCUGUAACAGAAAUGAAUGGGCGUAUUGUUGGUUCCAAGCCAUUAUAUGUAGCCCUUGCUCAAAGGAAAGAGGAACGCAAGGCUCAUUUAACUAAUCAGUAUAUGCAACGAAUUGCAGGGAUGCGUGCCAUGCCAGCCAAUACAAUCAUCAACCAAUUUCAGCCAGCUGCUGGAGGCUAUUUUAUGCCAGCUGUGCCUCAGGUACAAAACAGAGCUGCCUAUUAUGCACCAAAUCAGAUGGCCCAGAUGAGACCCAGUACCCGUUGGCAACAGCAGCAAACCAGACCCCAAGGGUUCCAAGCCGUGCCAAAUGCCCUUCGUCAGGGAGGUCCUAGGCCUCUUCGUCACCUAGCCCCAACAGGAAAUGCUCAGGGUUCUCGAGGUGUUCCUAAUGCACAACGAAUGGGAUUAUCUACAGCUCAGAAUCUGGCGCAUCGCCCUGGGAUUGCUGGCCCAACACCACGGGGUGUUCCACCGUAUAAAUAUGCCUCCACAGUCCGGAACCCACAGCAAUCAGUCGUGCAAACUCAAAUGGGCGUACAGCAGGCCUCUCAGUCUGCAGUGCUCGUACAAGGACAGGAACCACUGAUUGCCUCCAUGCUAGCAGCAGCUCCUCCUCAGGAACAGAAACAGAUGCUAGGUGAACGUUUCUUCCCGUUGAUCCAGAGUAUGCACCCUUCCCUAGCUGGAAAAAUCACUGGAAUGCUUCUUGAGAUAGACAAUUCUGAGUUGCUACAUAUGUUGGAAUCUCCAGAAUCACUCCGGUCAAAGACAUCUUGAGGGUAAAUAAUAUGGAAAACGCUUGAAAAGAAAACUGCUAGACAGCAAAAUGAAACUACUGCAUUUAAAAAAAGCAGCAUUAUCUGCGCAUGCGUCAAGAAAUGUUGAAGAAGCUGUGGCCGUGCUGCAAGCUCACCAGGCCAAGAAAGAGGCUGCCCAGAAGGCAGCUGCGGUUGUAGCUACGGCCUGAAACAGGAAUUAGAUUUGCAACGAUUGCCAAGAACCGACGACUCCACACAUUUGAUUCAGAUAUAUUCAGGCGUGCAUCGUGCUUAGCUUUGAGGGGGAAAAUAAACAAACAAAAAAGCAAAAUUUCAAAUAACCAGUUUCUGAAAGAUUUUAAUGUACUUUAAGUAUUGAAAAGAAAUAUAUUUUGAUAGAUCAAACUAUAACAUUACAAAGCAGAGCAUCACUCUGCUUUGUUUUGAGCAUGGAUAUCUGUGGCCAGGAUAGAUUUAUUCAUGAAACCAAAUACAGUGAUGCUGAACAUGUGAAAACAACAGAAAAUGAUGGAAAUAUUUAGCAGGUUAUGCAGCAUCUGUGGAGAAAGAAAUAGUUAGAGUUUUGGGUCGAUGCCCUAUAAUUUGAAAUUAUUUAUUUUUUAUUUUCAAAAGGAUACGAAAGGUUGUAGGUAUGAUAAUGGAGCUAGAUUUUAACUUUGCAGUUAGGGUUUAUGAUUUGGGUGUGUUUUCAUUUCUAAAACUGAAGUUUGCCCAAAUCUGGAAGUGUUUCUGAUUGGGGAAAGAACAAAAUAAAAAUAAUUUGUCUAAAAUGUA